rnacentral:rRNA from 1 species
UACGUAGGGUGCAAGCGUUGUCCGGAAUUAUUGGGCGUAAAGAGCUCGUAGGCGGCCAGGUAGGUCGGUUGUGAAAACUGGAGGCUCAACCUUCAGAGGUCGACCGAAACCAUCUGGCUAGAGUCCGGGAGAGGAGAGUGGAAUUCCUGGUGUAGCGGUGAAAUGCGCAGAUAUCAGGAAGAACACCCAGUGGCGAAAGGCGGUCUCU